UUCUCGGGGACGUGCGGACUUCGCGGCAACGCUGAGUCACAGUGACGUCACUGACGUGUCAUUUCUGGUUGAAAUACUGUAAGGCUCAAAUAUCCAUUGUCUUUUCUCAAAUUUUCGGUGGUUGGGAGGUUGCACAGUUGUCUAAGGAGCUGCUUGAGCAUGUAACUAUGGUGAAUCUUGAGCUUUGAGCAUUUGGAGAAUUUGUUAUAAUUAUGCUGCCAUUUAAAAGUCUCCUACAAUUUAGUGAGAACAAGAAAUAUCUCAUAAAACCAGCUUGAUGCAGUGACUGGAAUAUUUUAAAGGGUUGGAAAGAGGCAUAGCUUCAAAGAAAUUUAUUCUUUUGCUCUGCAAGUGAAGAUAUAUGGCAAAUAUUCAUCGAAGCCUGCAGAAUUCAGUGCCAUGGAGAGUUCCUAAUGAAGUCCAAUUGAACAUCUUGCAAAUAAUCUACAUAUAUUCUAGAAAACUGGAGCAAAUAAUCUACACAUAUUCUAGAAAACUGGAUAAGUAACAUAUAUUCUAGAAAAUGGAAAAAAUACUUUAGAUUGUAUUGCUGAUUAGACAGCACCAAAUGAAUUCCUAAUUAGCUUUCGAUGUGUUAUUAGGCCACUUGAGUAUUAUUCGUUGAGAAUUAUUUGUACGUAAUUGAUAUAAAUAGGAACAGCUAUAAGGAAUACGUAUUUUAUUUUUUAUUUAAGGAAUAUUACCAGUUUGAUGAGGUUGUUUUGAACAUUGUCAUUAUGCUAUAGUUCAGUUGAUGUGACAAGUCCAAAAACUGAUAAAAUAGUGCCCUUAGUACAGCAAGCAUGAACUCGCCAGUAUUCCCAUCACAUGAAAAUUAUGACUUAAGGAUUACAUUUUAACCUACUCAUACUCUUCUCACUUAUUUCCAACACAUGAAAAGAAUAAUGUAAUGAUUAUGAUUUAAUGAUUAUAUCUGUAAAGAUGUAUCAUACAGUAGUUCAGUUAAAAGAAAUAUCUGUAAAGAUGUAUAUAUACAGUACUAGUUCAGUUAAGACAUAUUACAUAAAUUUUUCAAUAUUUUACAUGGUCUUUUGAUAUAAUGUAAAGAGCAGAAUUCAUUCUCAGAACAUAUAGUUAAACAUAACACAAUGUCCCUAAUACAGUAAAAUUAAAUACUUUCAAGCAGUACUGACAUGCUUAGUUCUUCAUUGUGGUGUAAACAAUCGCCCGUUUAAUGACAACACACACUACUAUUGUCCCAUUGUGCCUGAUCUACGGCUUUGUUACUUUUUUUCAUAUCUUGAAGAUGAAAAAGUACUUGACUAAAUUUUUAGUAAAUAACCAGAAAUAGAAUACCUGAAGUACAUUUAAGGGUUGAUUGUGUCAUAAAGAACGUAAAUUAUUAAAGUUUACUUUGAAACUACAAGUAUUUUUGUUUAUGGAAAAUCAGUAGACAAACACAAUUGACUUAUUAGAAGCCAGUGUAUUUUCUAGUUCCCUAAAAUAUCUUGUAAACAACAUGACAAACAGUUUGUAAUUAACUAAAGUAAACUCAAAAUGUUACUAGAUGAUUAUACUAGACAGCCUCUGGGACCGUAAUUGAGAUUGAGAUUUAUAGGAAUUUGAAAAUUAGAAGCAACUGUGCAUUAGAAGGUUGAUGAAUUGUACUUCAACCAAUUUGGGUUUAAUGUGAAAGCUAUAUUGCUUAAUGGCAUGAGACCAAGUUGGUUAACAAAAAAGGUUUAAGUAAUAGUGGAAAUAUUCUGUUAAUAUACUUCCUCAGGAAUUGAGUAUCUUGUGUUUGAGGCAGAACAUUAUUUCAUAUAUUCACAAACAUUUCUAUGUCAAGUGAGGAAAUUGAACGGUAAGGAAGAAUCGGACUUCAGAAAUGCAGAUGUAGACAAAUAUUUUACUUUGAUCUUUGACAGUCAAGUUUGUAUAACUUCUAUAUGUUUUCAUCAUUUGAGCCAAGUUGCAAUUUCCUCUAAAACUCUGUUUAUGUAUUUCCAAGUGGCAUUUUUUGUCAGAUUUUGUAUUGAACUCUACUUUAAACAAGUUGCAAAAGCAUGUGAUUGACUAUGGAGUGUUUCAUUUCAUCCAGUUUACAAUUCUCUUCAUUUAAUUGUAACACUUGCCUAUAUUGCAUCUUCUGCAUUAUACCUUUUUAUCUGUAGGCUAUUCCACUAAAAACUGUCCUCCAGUUCUUAGUAGCUGUUCAUAAGUUUCCUACAGUAGUAUAGCGGUAGAUUUUGCACAAUUUCAUUAAGUUAAAAAAUGUGGUCUUAGUUCAUUUGCCAUUGAUCAUGUGUAUGCUAUUUCAUUUAACUUAGUAAAUCUUUGUUAAACAGCUUUUAAGCAAAUUUGUAUCAAGAGUAGCUGUUAAAACUGAGAAAUGUUUUCGUGUCCUUUCUCUCAGGUACCCUUUUUUUCUAUCCUGUUUAGUAUCGGUGGGGGGGCAGUUGGAAUAAAAUAUCAGUUUAUGUAAUGAACAAAAAAAUUUAUCCCUCUAAGGUAGUCCCUUAUAAUAUUAAUCUUUCCAAAGGUCUUCACAGGAUAUUAAUGUGUAGUAAUUCACUGUAAUUUUCUUGAAUUAGAUUUUCAGAUCCUAAGUUGCUUAGUAAUCAAGUCACAUGCCGAACACUUGUUUAAAGUACUAGCUCAUUUUUCUCAACUCCAUUGAAAGUCACUUUCAUGACGAAACUGCUUUAGAGAUGGUAUAUAUUUUUUAGACUAAUUGUCUGCUGGUUUUAUAUGUAUAAUAUAGUAUAUAUACUGUACAGUAUAUAGAAAAAAAAUUUUUGGCUACAUACACAAAUUGGUCAGAUCUGUAAGGUUUUCAAGUUAUAACCCAUUCAGCUUACAAUAGUUUGCAAAUGAAAGCUUGGGGGUAAAGUGAAAAUAGUUUUUGAUGGAAAGGCUCAAGGAAAGAUUAUUCUUAAAUUAAGUUGUAAAGAGGUUCAGUUUAUAAAAGGAAUGCCAAAGGAAUGAGUCCUCAUGGUUGAAGAAAGAAAUUGAAGGAAGUAAUCCCUAGGGAGAGGCUUAGUGGACAAUUUGGUACUUGAUGAAUGUCUUAAAUAUAGUUGUAAGGAACAGGACAAUGAAAGGAUUUUGAGGAGUCUCGAGGAAAGGUUAAUUCCAGUAAGGGAGGAAAUUACUGUAAAAGGUAAAAUUUAAAAGGGGAUUCUUUCAGACAGAACCCAUUAGGAGGAACUAUAGAGGGCAUUUUAGCUAUAUAGAAAAAAAUGGAGGAUAAUUUUCAGCAGUAAUUAUGGACUAUAGUAACAUCUAGGAACUUUCUGGCUAGGGAAUGUUGAAGACUAGAUUUUGUAGACUACUGCAAAUCCAUGAGGAGUAACUUUUCAGAUAAAUUGUGAAGUAAUUCUUAAAGAAUAGGACCAGCUUUCAAAGUGAAUACAUCAAGAAGGGUAGAUUUUGAUAGUGUUCCUGAGUGUAGGAAUGUCUUAUUAACAUUUGACAAACUCUUUGUGUUUAAAGUAAGCUCAAAAUGUUACUAGAUAAUUAUACUAGGUAGCAUCUAGGAGCCUAAUUCAUUGAGGGUAUGGUUUAUAACUUGAAAAUUAGAAGCAAAUUUACAUUUAGAAGCUUGAUAUAUUGUACUUCAUUGAAUUUCUUACCAGUACGUAUUGGUUUAAUGUGAAAAAUAGUUUCUUACUACCAUGAGAGCAAGUGAAUGGAAACUGUUUGAAUAAUAUUGGAAAUAGUCUUAAAAGUAUGUUGAUUCAGGGAUUGAAUAUCAUGUAUAUACUUUGUAUUCACAAACAUGUCUUUGUCAAGUGAGGAAAUUGAAUGGUAAGGAACAAUUGGACCUCAGUAAUGCAGAUGCAGACAAAUAUUUUACUUUGAUCUUUGAGAGUCAAGUUUGUUUAACUUAUGUUAUAUUUCCUUGUGUUAUAUUUUGUCCGUUAAUGUAUUGUGCUCUACUUUAAACAAGUUACAAAAGCAUGUGACUGGCUGUGAAGUGAUUCAUUUAAUCCAAUAUACAAUUAUCUGUUCAUUUAAUUGUAAAACCUGCUUGUGUUGCAACCUCUCGCACUACCUUUCUAUCUUCAUUCCACUAAAAUCUGUCCUCUAAUUCUUAGCAUCUGUUCAUAACUUUCCUACAGUAUAACCAUAGCUAUAAAUUCAUCAAGCAGUAAAUUUUUUUGCAAUUUCCAUACUAUGUGUAAGCUAUUUCAUUUAACUUGGCAAAUCUUUCUUAAACUACUUUUAAGCAAAUUGGUUACGUGAGUAGCUGUUAAAAACUGUGAAAUGUUUGUAGUCCUUACUCUCAUCUACCACUUUUCUAUCCAAUUUAGUCAUUUUUUGGGAGGAAAUACAUUAUCAGUUUUUGUAAUGAACUGAAAAAUUUUUCAAAUUCAGGUAGUAUUUAUAACAAAUUUAGAAAGAGAAUCGCCAUUGUAAAAGAAAAAUUCAAAUAAUUCCAUCCACAUCUAUACUAGAAAGAAUAUGACAUAGCAACUGACCAAGUAGUAUAGAUUUUUUAGGGUAGGAUGAUUCUGAUGAGAGAUGGGUAAAGUUAAAAAGGAACUUUUAGAACUAUAAUUAUUGCUCUCUCUCUCUCUCUCUCUCUCUCUCUCUCAUAUUAAAUAAUUCACUGAUAAGUUUCUUGAAAUAGGUUUUUAGAUUUUAAGUAAUCUAGGCUCAUGGCAAACACUUGUUUAAAGUAACUCAUUUUUCUCAUUGACUCCUUGAAAGUCACUUGCAAUGUUGAGUCAUAGCCACAGAAUAACAAAACUGCUUACAAAAUGGUACAUAUUUUUUAGACUGCUGGUUUUAAAUGUAUAGCAUAUAUGUAGAGAGAAGUUAAUUAUAAUGAUGUACUUCUUACACAAAUUAGUUUUAACUGUGAGGUUUUAAAGUCAUAAAGAAAUUCAAGGUAGGAGUAAUCCCUAGUGAAAGGCUUGGUGGAUGACUUGAAACCUGAUGAAAGUCUUAAAAGAUAGUUUGUAAAAGACAGACAAAUGAAAGGGGUGAAUUGAAGGGGUCUCGAGGAAAGGUUAAUUCCAGUUUGGGAUGAAUUGUUUGUAAAAAGUAAAAUUUUGAAGGGGGUUCAUUUCAGAAUGGAAUUUAGAGUUUAGCCCAAAGGCCAAGCAGUGAGACCUACGAGGCCAUUCAGUGCUGGAAAGGAUAUUGAUAGUAGGUAGGUUAGAAAGAAUGUAACUGAAAGGAAAACCUCACAGCUGCACUAUGAAGCAAUUGUUAGACGUUGGAUAGGUAGAUGGAAGGAAGUUGUGAAUGGAGGUACAGUAAAAAGAGUGAAUGCUGUUGCAGCUAUGGCCCAAAUGAAUGCUGCAAAGAGCCUUUAGUAAUGCCCACAGUGCACCCUGUGAGUUGCACUGAUGACACUACCUCCCAACAGUGAAGAUAAAAGAAGGCAUGUAUGAAAAUUUUGGGAUUAUUUAAUAGCAAUAAUUAUGAAAUAUAGUAACAUCUGGGCGAUCUUCUGGGUAGGAAAUGUUAAGACUAGAUUUCUGUAGACUACUAUAAGUCCGUGCAGAAUAACUUUUCAAAGGAGUUUUAAAAUAAUUCUUAACUAGGACCAGUUUUCAAAGGAAAUUCAUCAAGAGGGUUAGGAUUUUAAUGGAAAAUUUUAAUUGUUACCUGUGAUCCAGACAAGUAAUUUUGGUCAGUAGAAACCAGGCGAGUCUCAACCUGUAAAUUUAAUGCCAGCUUUUUGUUUUGGCGAAGUGUAAAUAUUUCAAGGCUAAAAAAAAUUACAGUUGGAGCACUUGCAAUAGGUUUGCAGCAUUUAAAACCAGCAGCAGGAUUAAUUAGUUCAGACACAAUGGUCUUAUAGGAAAUGGCUUGAGAUCCAGUAUAUUUAGAACAAGCAGUUUGCCCAUAGUGCACGUUAAGUCACUUGUUUACUAUAAAUCUUUACUUAAUCUUGCUCAUUUUAGUGUACUUUAGUAUUUAUAUCCAUACAGAAAGAGGUGCAAGGAUUGGUCUCAAAACUGUGAAAAUGUACUCUUCCUCAAAUUUGUGGUUUUUCAUAUAUACAGUAGUACCUUG